rnacentral:rRNA from 1 species
UAGGGAAUCUUGCACAAUGGGCGAAAGCCUGAUGCAGCAACGCCGCGUGAAGGAUGAAGGCCUUCGGGUUGUAAACUUCUGUUCUUAGGGAAGAAGAAAGUGACAGUACCUAAGGAGAAAGCCCCGGCUAACUACGUGCCAGCAGCCGCGGUAAUACGUAGGGGGCAAGCGUUAUCCGGAAUUAUUGGGCGUAAAGAGUGCGUAGGUGGUUAUCUAAGCGUAAGGUUUAAGCGUGCAGCUCAACUGCAUCUCGCCUUGCGAACUGGACUACUUGAGUGCAGGAGGGGAAAGCGGAAUUCCUAGUGUAGCGGUGAAAUGCGUAGAUAUUAGGAGGAACACCAGCGGCGAAGGCGGCUUUCUGGACUGUAACUGACACUGAGGCACGAAAGCGUGGGGAGCAAACAGGAUUAGAUACCCUGGUAGU